rnacentral:rRNA from 1 species
AUGUACACACAUACUCUGGUUUCAUUGCAUCGCAUCCAUGGAUUUGGGGCCUUGGCAACUGACGAAGCUUCAUGCAGAUUUGGGGCUUUGGCAACUGACGAAGCUUCAUGCAUCUCUGCAAUAGUGGUGGCAGGUGAGAUGAUGGUGGAUGAGAAGGGAAGGUGUGGGAGGUGCAGGGAGUGGCAGGAGCACUACUACUGGGAGCACAUGGAGGAUGUGAGCAAGAUCAGCUUCUUCAAGCUCAUGACAGGAGAUUUUCAGCAGCGGAUUAGCAUACCAGAGAAGAUUGCCAACAAUUUCAUCGGGAAGAUCUCCACUGGAGGAUUCACCCUCAAAGCACCAAGCGGCGAGGAAUGGCGCGUUGGUGGCGAAAAGAUUGCUGAUGAGCUGUUCUUCAUGCCAGGAUGGGAGGAAUUUGCCAAGGCUCACGAACUGCAGGAGAACGACCUCCUGCUCUUCAAAUGCAGUGGCAAUGGCUCCUUUGAUGUACUCAUAUUUGACCCUAGCGGCUGCGAGAAGGUUUCAUGUUUCUUUGCCAAUAAAAAGGGUACCAGUAUGCACAAACAGUUCACCAACAUUGUGGGUCAACAAGGUGAAGAACAUUGCAUGUUGAGCGAUUCGGAAGAAGCUAGCAUGCCGCUGUCGGAGCCGGUUGGGCGUCCUCACAAGGCCUCUACUUCAAAGAAACCAAGGAAAGAGACUGAAUCUCCAAAGAACAACAACUAUUUUCUUAAGAACGAGGCGGUGGAGGAAGAAGAGGAAAGUGAUGACCACCACACUGAAUCCGACUACUACUACUACUCAAGGUUUGCGAAUUGCCUGACUGAAGAUGAACGAGAGGAAAUAUUCGGGCUGGCAUCAAUUCAAUUAGGCAACCCUGUGUAA